UCAUGUUUUAUCAUUACCCGAAAUUAUGCAAUAUAACAAAGACAAUAAUUAAAUAUGAUUGGACAAUAAUAAGAGCGGGCUUUUGAAUCUUAACCAAUAAGAAGCCAAACCAGAUCAUUUUAAAGAUAUCGCGAUUGCCGCGCAGUUUCUUCUGACUAUUUAGCCACAAGAACACAAGACAAAUUUUUGGAGGCGCACCGAUUAGAUAAACGCUGAGUUUAAGAGAAUUACCACCACACCACUUCAGUCAAAGUUCUUGUCUCAGCUGGAUCUCCAUUUUGACAACCUGAUGAAGCUGAUCAAAACWAGAGGACAGCUUGGACAAAKGCUAGGACAAAUUGUUGCACAAAUGGAUGAUGUGGAGCAGGGAUGAUGGUGUACGUCUGUCCAUCCGACCCCCCCGGGGAGACAAUCAGGGGGUGAAGCACAGACAGGCAGGAGGUUAGGAAUGGAGAGCAAGCUGAGAAUGAGACAUCUGGUGGAAAUGUUUAAUAUAAAGAAGCUCAGUUCUUCAAGGAUUUCUAAUGAGCUAAAGUGGAGAUGAGUAGGGAGGAAAGCAGAUGUGGACAUUUGAAUUUAGUCUCAGAACUGUACAAUACCGAUGCUAAAUGGAGAUUACUGAACGUCCAUGUUGGGAUGAGUCAAAAGAUUGACGCACUGAUGAAUGUUUUUGAUUCAGGCCUUUUUGAGAGUCUGUGUUUCAGAGGUCGGAAGCAUUCAGCUGAAGAAGAAACACAGAGGAAGUUGGUAAUGUGACCUGAUCUAUGUCACAUUAGGAGACGUCGUCGACCGCUUUGUGGGGAUCAAAGAUGAUGAUCAGCUGGACUCAUUUGUCUGCAAAGUCAUUGGACAAUAAACCGGCAGUCCCCCCACCUAGCCGUACACCACCAUUAUGGUGCUGUUACCUAAGAUCAUGGCAUGUCAGGCAGGCGGUGCCACAGUCCCACUUGGCCAACUCUUUAGCGCUCUCACUCAUCUCUAGACAAUCUGCUGCUUCGGCUGUGGAUUGUGUUGCUUUGGUCUUUUUCUCUUUUUUACAAAUAAAAUAAUUAGAUUUUAUACAAAUCAAAUGAUUCACUCCAGUUCAACUGGAUCCAUCAAGUGUUCUGAAAGUGACGGCUCACAAGUUGAGACGUAUCCAGUAGUACUGUUUCACAUUUAAUAGCUGGAUCAACAAAGCAAGUUAAAGUAGUACAUCCAACGUUUUGUGUCCAUUCAGCUGAAAUUUGGGUGGGAAAAUAAAAUUUAAAAAAAGGGAAAAAAAUUGAAACAGUUCCUGUGUUUUUACGCAGGAACUGUUGCAUAUUUCUGUGUGUUAAUCUGGUCAGAAAUAGCUUCUCCAGGAAAAUGUCUGACAGUUUUGACUUUCUGUACC